AACGAACGCUGGCGGCAUGCCUAACACAUGCAAGUCGAACGAGACCUUCGGGUCUAGUGGCGCACGGGUGCGUAACGCGUGGGAACCUGCCCUUAGGUUCGGAAUAACUCCCCGAAAGGGGUGCUAAUACCGGAUAAUGUCUUCGGACCAAAGAUUUAUCGCCUUUGGAUGGGCCCGCGUAGGAUUAGCUAGUUGGUAGGGUAAAGGCCUACCAAGGCGACGAUCCUUAGCUGGUCUUAGAGGAUGAUCAGCCACACUGGGACUGAGACACGGCCCAGACUCCUACGGGAGGCAGCAGUGGGGAAUAUUGGACAAUGGGCGAAAGCCUGAUCCAGCAAUGCCGCGUGAGUGAUGAAGGCCUUAGGGUUGUAAAGCUCCUUUACCCGGGAUGAUAAUGACAGUACCGGGAGAAUAAGCCCCGGCUAACUCCGUGCCAGCCGCCGCGGUAA
rnacentral:rRNA from 1 species